GAUCGAUUAGUAUAGUGGUUAGUACGGGACGUUGUGGCCGUCCAGACGAGGGUUCGAUUCCCCCAUCGGUCA